rnacentral:tRNA from 1 species
GGAAGGGUGGGUGAGCGGUUGAAACCGACAGUCUCGAAAACUGUUAUAUCCUAACGGGUAUCGGGGGUUCGAAUCCCCCCCCUUCCG